rnacentral:rRNA from 1 species
UACCUGCAGCUCGAGUGGUAACCGCUAUUAUUGGGCCUAAAGCGUCCGUAGCCGGUUUGGUAAAUAUCUGGGUAAAUCGUAUGGCUUAACCAUACGAAUUCCGGGUAGACUGUUUGACUUGAGACCGGGAGAAGCUAGAGGUACUCCUGGGGUAGAAGUGAAAUUCUGUAAUCCUAGGGGGACCACCAGUGGCGAAGGCGUCUAGCUAGAACGGGUCUGACGGUGAGGGACGAAGCCCUGGGGCGCAAACGGGAUUAGAUACCCCGGUAGUCCAGGGUGUAAACGCUGCUUGCUUGAUGUUAGUCUGGCUCCGAGCCAGAUUAGUGUCGGAGAGAAGUUGUUAAGCAAGCUGCCUGGGAAGUACGGCCGCAAGACUGAAACUUAAAGGAAUUGGCGGGGGAGCACAGCAACGGGUGGAGCGUGCGGUUU